rnacentral:lncRNA from 1 species
ACCAUCAGUCAUAUGCUAGAUUAGCUCGACUCGAGUUUAUUUGUGAAUUCUAUGAAAACUCUUUUUUAGUAUUCACUCUUACUCUGGCUAGAGAUUUUUUGAACUCAGUCUUACGAAUCACAUAGAAUUUCUCCUUUUCUACCAAGAUCAAUAGAUUUCAUCUAGGUAUAUUCUACUCCAAACAGCAAAUCUGAAUCUACAAUAGCCAACAUACACAGCAAGAACCUAAAUGGCUAG